rnacentral:rRNA from 1 species
CUUCGGACCUCUCGCUAAUAGAUGAGCCUAGGCCGGAUUAGCUAGUUGGUAAGGGUAAAGGCCUACCAAGGCGACGAUCUGUAGCUGGUCUGAGAGGAUGGCCAGCCACACUGGAACUGAGACACGGUCCAGACUCCUACGGGAGGCAGCAGGUGGGAAUAUUGGACAAUGGGGCAACCCUGAUCCAGCCAUGCCGCGUGUGUGAAGAAGGCCUUCGGGUUGUAAAGCACUUUAAGCGAGGAGGAAGGUUUUAGUUUAAUACACUAAAGAAUUGACGUUACUCGCAGAAUAAGCACCGGCUAACUCUGUG